rnacentral:misc_RNA from 1 species
GAUGAAGAACGUAGCGAAAUGCGAUACUUGGUGUGAAUUGCAGAAUCCCGUGAACCAUCGAGUCUUUGAACGCAAGUUGCGCCCGAAGCCAUUAGGCCGAGGGCACGCCUGCCUGGGCGUCACACGUCGUUGCCCCCCCAUCUACUCCUUCGGGAUUGCGGGGGGCGGAUGAUGGCCUCCCGUGCGCCUCGCCGCGCGGUUGGCAUAAAUGCCAAGUCCUCGGCGACGCACGCCACGACAAUCGGUGGUUGCGAAACCUCGGUUGCCCGUCGUGUGCGGUCGUCGCGCAUCGAGGGCUCGAAAAGAUUGCCGGGUUCCGGCUCGGCUUUCAACGCGACCCCAGGUCAGGCGGGGUUACCCGCUGAAUUUAAGCAUAUCAAUAAGCGGAGGA